UACGUAGGUGGCAAGCGUUAUCCGGAUUUACUGGGUGUAAAGGGAGCGUAGACGGCAGCACAAGUCUGGAGUGAAAUCCCAUGGCUUAACCAUGGAACUGCUUUGGAAACUGUGCAGCUGGAGUGCAGGAGAGGUAAGCGGAAUUCCUAGUGUAGCGGUGAAAUGCGUAGAUAUUAGGAAGAACACCAGUGGCGAAGGCGGAUUACUGGACGAUAACUGACGGUGAGGCGCGAAAGCGUGGGUAUCGAACAGG
rnacentral:rRNA from 1 species